GAUGGAUAAACUAAUUGCAUAAUAAGCUAGAAACUUCUUUCUCAGCAAUGCACAGAGAGAAAAAAAUUAUUCUCGCUGAAGAUUGAUAUUCGUGACAGAAGAAAAUAUUUUCUUGGAUAUUAUUCCUCCAGGGGAGGAAGUCAGGAAGGAUUAUCAUAAGCUGACGUUGUUUUCCUCGGUGAUAUAUCAGCUUUGCUGCUGGAUCUCCUCUUCAUCAGCAUCAUGAGUAGUAUCAGAGUCGAGAGAAUGGACAACGACGCGAGAAUAGCAACAAUAACCAGGGGACCAUAGUAAUCCCCCUCGUGAAGGGGAAUCGAUGCUAAUUUUCCCUGAUGAGUGACACCAGACUGGAGAAUAACACCUGGCUUAGUCACAAAAUCCUGGACAUUGCUUUUCUUAAUCCGUCCAUUGGUGAGAUAGACUUCCAGCCAGAGGCGAUACCUGGUGCCUGGUUUCAAAUCACUGAUCAAUGUCUUGGCCAGGUACACCACUCCAGGAGAUCUCGACGUCCUGGGAUUUCACGGUUUUUAUUUCGACUUUGACGUCGAACGAGUAGGGGUCGGGCUCCACUGCUGUUAUUAUCUCCACCUGGGGGAGACGAAAGGGAAUUGUUGAUUAAUUGAUUAAUUGAUUGUGAAGUAUUUUUAUCGAAAUUUCUUAGAGGAGACGGGAAAAUGGUUUCAAACAAAUUUUAGAUGAAAAUUAGAGCUCUAAGGGGUGAAACGAGGGACGAAGGUUUGUUUUGAUCAGCAAAAUUACCCUCCCAAGUCUAAUUUAUCCAACAAAUCUUGACGUAAAAAGUGAUUGAUUGUCAUUUCCUUCCACGUUUCCCCCGCUAGAGGAAUUGUAAAAUAUUGUUCCUUGAAAAAUGAUCAAAUAUUUCUAGAAAUUUUUUAAUUAGCAGAGUCUCAUUCUAUAAUACGUAGAAACCUGGGAAUUAGGAAAAUUUAAUUGACGUGGUGAUCAACAGUCACUUUGCAAUCCACCUGACAGCAACACGAAUAUGCCCACCCCUUCCCUUCUCUCGUAAUAAAGUGACAGUUCUUGACAUUUUACGGUAAGACUAGGGUAAUUAAAAAAUUUCUAACAUUUAAUAAUUUUUCAGAGAACAAUUUUUUAAAAUAAUGCUCCAUAAAACCCCGCAGGAAAUCAUUUACUUUUAGUCCUUUUAAUCCUUCCCCUGUCCUCAUGCUCUGCUAACCCAGGCAUCACCGGGUUUA